GGGGAUGAUCGGUUUCGACAGCGAACGUCGAAGCAGGGGAAGCGAGCCGAGGAACGCGGCAAUGAUCUCGUUAACCACGUGCCGCAAAAAAAUAAUCGCCAAUCAGAAGCGCGAUUCCUUCGCCCUCGCUGCCUGAGCAGCGACUUGCGAAGUGUCAGCCCGGGGUAGUUCCCGCCCCGGUUCCUGGCAUCAGCUAAGGGAACUCACCGCGUAGGCCCGGUCACGGGGCCUGCCGGGACAUCACACAGUGACUGGGCCCGUCGGAGACUAGUCCGCGUGAUCUCCGGGGCCGAGAAAAUCGAAGCGGACUGCGCUCGGAGAAGCCCUGUUUCCACUUCGUUGGACGCGGGUUCGAUUCCCGCCAUCUCCACUG
rfam:Streptomyces sp. NRRL F-6602 F6602contig5.1, whole genome shotgun sequence.